CGGCCGCUGCCCGUGCCUGGCGGCUCCUCUCCCCAGAGUUGGAGGGCUUUCCGGUGUAUUGAUGCCUUAUUGAUGAUGGCAGAACACCCGCCUUUGCUAGACACAGCUCAGAUUUUAAGUAGCGACAUCUCUCUUCUGUCUGCCCCUAUUGUAAGUGCAGAUGGAACACAGCAGGUUAUUCUGGUACAAGUUAAUCCAGGGGAAGCAUUUACAAUAAGAAGAGAAGAUGGACAGUUUCAGUGCAUUACAGGUCCUGCUCAGGUUCCAAUGAUGUCCCCAAAUGGUUCCGUGCCUCCUAUUUAUGUGCCUCCUGGAUAUGCCCCACAGGUUAUUGAAGACAAUGGUGUUCGGAGAGUCGUUGUGGUUCCGCAAUCACCAGAGUUUCAUCCUGGUGGCCACACAGUUAUCCACCGCUCCCCACAUCCUCCUCUGCCUGGUU
rnacentral:lncRNA from 1 species